AACGAACGCUGGCGGCAGGCUUAACACAUGCAAGUCGAGCGCCCCGCAAGGGGAGCGGCAGACGGGUGAGUAACGCGUGGGAAUCUACCCAUCUCUACGGAAUAACGCAUGGAAACGUGUGCUAAUACCGUAUACGUCCUUCGGGAGAAAGAUUUAUCGGAGAUGGAUGAGCCCGCGUUGGAUUAGCUAGUUGGUGGGGUAAUGGCCUACCAAGGCGACGAUCCAUAGCUGGUCUGAGAGGAUGAUCAGCCACACUGGGACUGAGACACGGCCCAGACUCCUACGGGAGGCAGCAGUGGGGAAUAUUGGACAAUGGGGGCAAGCCUGAUCCAGCCAUGCCGCGUGAGUGAUGAAGGCCCUAGGGUUGUAAAGCUCUUUCACCGGUGAAGAUAAUGACGGUAACCGGAGAAGAAGCCCCGGCUAACUUCGUGCCAGCAGCCGCCGUAAAAC
rnacentral:rRNA from 1 species